rnacentral:rRNA from 1 species
GGCGAAAGAGGGGAAAGCAGCCGCGGUAAGACGGUGGGUGCACUGAUUAAUCGGAGUUACUGGGGGUAAUGCGAACGCCGGUGGCUUAUGCAGUCGAUUGUGAAAGUCCGGGUCUGAACCUGGGAAUGGCAGUCGAUACUACUCAGCGAGAGGAUGGGAGAGGGUAGUGGAAUGCCCGGUGUAGCGGUGAAAUGCGUAGAUAUCGGGAGGAACAUCAGUGGCGAAGGCGGCUACCUGGCCCAAUACUGACACUCAGGUGCGACAGCGUGGGGAGCAAACAGGAUUAGAUACCCCGUAGUC